UACAAGUCUGUGAAUAGAAGUAGUAGCUAUAAGAAAUUAGUUUAAGCGAGUCGGGUUAGUGUGAGCCGGUACUGUAGCUUGUAGUGAAUGGAUCUAUGAGACGAUGUUGUGAAAGUUUUUAGUAGCGACAUUCGGAAAGUCUACCGUUAAAAGGACAGGAUAUCGAAAUUAUAUAUUUCCGUAUCUGAGAGAGAUAAUCUAUUAUUUAUUUACUUAGAUUAAAAUGGGUGGCACCACGGACCACUUCGUCCCAUAU
rnacentral:ncRNA from 1 species